UUUUUUUUUUUUUUUUUAAGAGCAGAAUAAAGGCUUUCUCGUGUCGGCCACACAGCCCCUCCAGCUCGAAUAAUGGAGAGAUUGUCGCUCACUCCGCGAGCCGCGGCCCUUUGUACGCAGCUGAUGGCGAAGAGGCGACCGGGGGUGGCAGGGCUCCUGGCCCUGGCCCCUGUGCCCGAGUACACAGGCUCAAGUCUCCUGGGCAGGGAGCGGGUGAAAGGAACAUGGUUAAAAUACGGGGAGGGAGGGCGGUGGGAGGGAAGGAGGAAAAAGAAAAAGGAUGAAUUUGUACACAAAUUCUACAUUUUACUCCCCUUGCAGUCAGAAGCAGGGCAGUGGAGAGACCAGGCAGCAAGCAGACUGCUGGAGAUGGAAAAGGAAAGGCUGAGAGAGAGAGAGAGAGAGAGAGGCGCGCAGAGAGGGUGGGCAGAAAGCGCGAGCGCGCGCGGGAACCGGGGCCCCUGCUGGACGCCGGGUGCGCCCGCCCAGCCGCCUCGGACCCCGGACCUUGCGUCGUGGACACCAGAAGCGAGACUCGCCAAAGUCCGGCCCCAGAAGAUUUUUGCCCAUGGUGCUUUUGUCUUUAUGCCCUGCAAACGAGUACUGAAGAAGAAAAGAUUAGGGCCAUGGUCUCCGUUGAGGGAGAUUGAAAGCAUUACUUGA
rnacentral:lncRNA from 1 species